rnacentral:rRNA from 1 species
CCUACGGGAGGCAGCAGUGAGGAAUAUUGGUCAAUGGGCGCGAGCCUGAACCAGCCAAGUAGCGUGAAGGAUGACUGCCCUACGGGUUGUAAACUUCUUUUAUAAAGGAAUAAAGUGAGGCACGUGUGCCUUUUUGUAUGUACUUUAUGAAUAAGGCACGGCUAACUCCGUGCCAGCCGCCGCGGUAAUACGGAGGAUCCGAGCGUUUUCCGGAUUUAUUGGGUUUAAAGGGAGCGUAGAUGGGUUGUUAAGUUAGUUGGGAAAGUUUGCGGGUCAACCGUAAAAUUGCAAUUGAUACUGGCAGCCUUGAGUACAGUUGAGGUAGGCGGAAUUCGUGGUGUAGCGGUGAAAUGCUUAGAUAUCACGAAGAACUCCGAUUGCGAAGGCAGCAUACUAAACUGCCACUGACACUGAUGCUCGAAAGUGUGGGUAUCAAACAGGAUUAGAUACCCGGGUAGUC